rnacentral:lncRNA from 1 species
UGCUUAAUUACAUGAUUCAACAAGUAUACGUUCAGUUCUUCCUGUAAGCAAGGUCCUAUAUGAAGAGUUGGGUUUGGAGAGGGGAAAGGCAGAUCACAGCUCUGAUUUCAUUGCAGGUCCAAAGCUGUUUACUUUCUGGAGGGAAUCCAGAACAGAGAAGGACACUGCGCGUCUAGAGGUCUGCUGCUGCUGCUGCUGCUGCAGGUCUCCCUGGAGAACGUGGGACUCAUCACAAUGGCAGGGGAUUGCCCUGCUGGUGAUGGCAAGUUCAACUCCAUUCUGAAGUGCUUUUGGAGAAGAAGUUGAUAAUAAGUGCUAAUUUAAAGCAAGGAGGCUUAAAGGCUACAUACCUGACUUAAUGAGGUAAUAGAGAGAAAGACCAUCCAUGGCUUUUUCUAUGACUACUAUGACACUAUUUGAAAAGGAAUUUUAAUAUAGUUGUUUUAUUUGGGGGAAUGGAGUGGGAGGUCUAUUAAAUCAAUCACUCCCACCCCACUUAGCCCUGAUAUCUUUUUCAGAUGAGAAUAUAUCUCCAUUGAAUUAAUUGAUGAAGGGAAUUUCAAUUAGAUGUCAAAAGAAGGUUGUUUGGUUUGUUUGAGGAAAUUUGGCUACAACCUGUGUGUGGGUUUUAUAUAAAAGAGCAAACAAAUUCAGAAUCCAGGUAAUAUGUUGCCAUGAGAAACUGCUGUAGGAAGAGGGAACAGAAGAAUGGAUAUGACCUCCUG